GAUGAACGCUGGCGGCGUGCCUAACACAUGCAAGUUGAGCGAGAAAUCACUUAAAGAAGCUUCGGUAGACUUAAGAGAUGGAGAGCAGCGGACGGGUGAGUAACGCGUGGGAAACCUGCCCUUGACAGGAGGAUAGCCGAGAGAAAUUUCGAUUAAUACUUCAUAAAGCAGAGCAUUCGCAUGGAUGAACUGCCAAAGAAUUAUCGGUCAAGGAUGGUCCCGCGUCUGAUUAGCUGGUUGGUAAGGUAGCGGCUUACCAAGGCGGCGAUCAGUAGCCGGCCUGAGAGGGUGAACGGCCACAUUGGAACUGAGACACGGUCCAGACUCCUACGGGAGGCAGCAGUGGGGAAUAUUGCACAAUGGGCGAAAGCCUGAUGCAGCAACGCCGCGUGAAGGAAGAAGGCUUUCGAGUCGUAAACUUCUGUCCAAAGGGAAGAAGAAUGACGGUACCUUUGAAGAAAGCCCCGGCUAACUACGUGCCAGCAGCCGCGGUAAUACGUAGGGGGCGAGCGUUAUCCGGAAUUACUGGGCGUAAAGAGUAUGUAGGUGGUUAAGUAAGCGUAGGGUUUAAGGCGACAGCCCAACUGUCGUAUGCCCCGCGAACUGUUUAACUUGAGUACAGGAGGGGAAGGCGGAAUUCCUAGUGUAGCGGUGAAAUGCGUAGAUAUUAGGAGGAACACCAGUGGCGAAGGCGGCCUUCUGGACUGUAACUGACACUGAGAUACGAAAGCGUGGGUAGCAAACAGG
rnacentral:rRNA from 1 species